rnacentral:lncRNA from 1 species
GUGGGGCUCCAUAUUUUUUUGAGGGGGGUCUUGUCCCAGCUGGAUGCCAUUAGGACUCAGCUCCAGUCUAAGCCCUCCGCAUCCAGUGAACUCGCUUUUGUCCAGUCUAUUGCAUUCCAUCCCUCAACAUCUUCCACUCGGAUCAGACCCCUCACUUGAGGCUAAGGUUGAUUAUGUUUCACUUAUCUUGAUUCUGAGCUCGAUGCCCAUUCUCACUGAUUUGAUCUGAUCAUUUUGUACUAGACGUUUUAGGUU